UACGUAGGGGGCGAGCGUUGUCCGGAUUUAUUGGGCGUAAAGAGCUCGUAGGCGGUUUGGUAAGUUGGAUGUGAAAUCUCCAGGCUCAACUUGGAGGGGUCAUUCGAUACUGCCAUGACUAGAGUUCGGUAGGGGAGUGUGGAAUUCCUGGUGGAGCGGUGAAAUGCGCAGAUAUCAGGAGGAACACCCGUAGCGAAGGCAGCCCCCUGGGCUAACACUGACGCUCAUGCACGAAAGCGUGGGGAGCAAACAGG
rnacentral:rRNA from 1 species